CAGGCGGUCUUGUGUUUGGCCCUCACCGGCUGAAGUCCUUUGCCGCCUCCAUCGGGUUCGUCUGCCCCCAUCCGCACACUGCCCCCAUCAGAAAAUGAUCCAAUGGAAUCCCUCUAUUCUCCACCACGCCAAGAUCCGCCUGCUGCCCCCAUCCCCUCCAGGCGGUCUCAAGUGGCACCAUGACAUUGGGGAUCUGCUCUAGCGGGUUCUGGCGGUUUCUGGAUGCAGGGGAGUUCUCCGACAGUCUCGAGCGGAUCCAGUCGGAGGAGGAACUGCUUCAGCGAUGGACGAUAAUGAGCCGCUAUGGGCCUGAGGAACAAGGGCAAGGAUGGGAUACCUUCUACAGCAGUGACGUUGCUAUGCGGUGGCUCCUUCUUCUGCUUGCCAAUCAUAUGGUAUUUAUCAAGUAAGCCAGCAUUGGGACAAGUUAACGAUCACCAAGAAGGUAAUACACAUUACCAGUUCAACCUGAUAUCUGAUUGGUCAUCUUUUUAGUUUUGCAUAUGAACUUCUAGGAUCAUGAAUAUAAUGUGUUGCUGGAGCAGAUCUCUGUAGGCCCGACACAGCGUUUUCACAUUAUUUGUAGCUGUUUCAGCCACUUCUUGAUGUAGUCUCUUAUAGGCGUCCGAUGCUGCAAGCUUCCUACAUGAUUGUGUGUGCAGUGAAACCUGAUGGCUGCCUCCGCAACACUCUCCAACGAGACAUAUUGGCCGGGCAUGUCUUCUUCUCGCCAUGGUGACAUGGUGUAUGACGAGCUGCAAAGUAUCAACUGACGUGGGAUAUAAACAAUCUGUGUGGCCUGCAACCAAGGUUCCCACUUCAAAUCUCUAGAAGCAUUAGCUUUACAUAAAUGGAGUCGAGAACAUAUAAAAAAACUGUACUUAACAAUUGUUCACACUGAGAACAGUAUCUGAUAUUGGUCCACAAUCCGAAGCAUAUCAACAUUUGCAAUGAGCUUCCAUGGUCCUAAAUGGUUGUAGAAAAUUGCACAAUCGUUUCUUCAACUAGAUGAUACCCCGCGCGUUGCGGCGGGAUUUUUCUACUAAUGUAUAGAAUAACAUUUCAUAUCAUAUAUUCGUAUAUAGCUUUAUGAAAGCUUUGUUGUAAAGCAACGCGUUUGAUUUAUUGAAAGUGGAUAAUAAGUUCAUUGCA